CAGCUCGGGGAAGACAAGCAGAAUGCAGAUUUCAAGGACAAGGGAGGGGGUGAGGAGCCUUUGAUUGCCUGGGUCCAGCUGGCGGGUCAACCGGUGGUCGUUCUCUCCAUGACCUCCUCGGACAGUUUCCCACCGAACAGAUGAAGGCUCUGCCAGUGAGGGAGCUGGUCUGGGUAUCGCCACUGCUGUGCAGGCAGGCUGCCUGCAGGGCUGAUGGGACCUCAGCUGAAAAACCCUGGGCCCUCAAUUCCUGAGGCGCUGCAGAGAGAGUAAGUCACUCACCACAGACGUGCCUGCAGAGGAUUCUGUGGAGAACCCACCACAGCUCCCCACCAAAGAAAUAUGUGCUUUAAAUGCUGGCCAGGCCCAGAGAACAAAGAGCGUACAACACUGUUACUCAGACUCCUCUUGGGAAAGGAGCUGCUCUGACAGCUCGCUGCCUGCGAAAGGCCCCGUCCUGCCUGGCUGUGCUGUGGCUCAUAGGAGCAGAGAGAAUCAGGCUGCUCUCAAACUGCCACCUUCAAAUUAGAGCAUGAACAUGCAUCCUCCUGAAUAUUACAGAAGAAGGAGCGGAAGGAAGAGCUGAGUUCUAAACAGAUGUUUCUUUAUCACAUGCCAUUGUUCCCUUCCCCAAAAAUCCUUCCAAAAUUAAGGAACAGCUUAUAAAAUAUUGACAGGUGAGAGGCAGCUUUUAAAAUUACAUCUUUUACAGCGUGUACACAUUCAGCCACUUUCUGCUAUGAGGGGUAAUAAAAUGGCAUUUUUCCCACCUUUUUC